AAGAAUGUAGAAAGGGUUGUUUGAAACAUGUUAGAGGAGAACAUUGGAAACAUCAAACACUGUGAUUGUAAGCAAUGGAAAUAACUGUCCUAAACUGUAAAACAAUGCAAGAACAUGAAGAUGUCAAAGCCCAUGGUAUGUUCAUUUAGUCAUUCUCCGGACUAAAAAUAUUUGUAUUUUCUAUCAACAAGAGUUUACCUUGAUAUAUAAAUAUAUUCAUGCAAAUGUGCAUAUUAAUAAGCACACAUGUAUGUAUAUAAUAUACAUAUAUUGUGUAUAUAUAUGUAUAUGUGGGUGUGUAUUUCCAUGUAUUGAGGUUUUUCAGAGAACGAAUGUCACUAGUAAACGGUAGAAAAUGUAUGUUAUUAAACCUUUAUUUACUAAUUUUCUUAACAACAACACUAAAGCUAGAAAAUAAAAAGGAUCAUUCAUUUUUAAACAGAUGGCAAAAACACUCCCUGGGGAAGUCCAACCAGACUGAUGUUUUGUCUGCAUCAAUUUCCCUGUAGACCGUCUGCCAUGCUUUGACAAGCUCGGCAUGCCUCCCUUACAUGUUGAACAUCAAUAUCUAUAGACAACUCUAUAUAUGUUCUCAUGAGGGUAAAGGCUAUGUCAAAUAACUACCAAUAUGUAUAUGUAAUUAUUUUCUAUGUGGCAUAUACUAGCUGUCAUAUUUUCACUUAAUAAUAAAUGCUUUCAGAAAUAGGGACCAUUUUGUAUUUUUUCUAUGUUCUCCAUGACACAUGUCUUGAGACUAUUGUCCCUUCCUAUACAAUUGAAAUUAUAUAUGUUUCUGCCACAGUCAUUUUCAUACAACUGGCC
rnacentral:lncRNA from 10 species